UAGGGAAUCUUCGGCAAUGGACGAAAGUCUGACCGAGCAACGCCGCGUGAGUGAAGAAGGUUUUCGGAUCGUAAAACUCUGUUGUUAGAGAAGAACAAGGACGUUAGUAACUGAACGUCCCCUGACGGUAUCUAACCAGAAAGCCACGGCUAACUACGUGCCAGCAGCCGCGGUAAUACGUAGGUGGCAAGCGUUGUCCGGAUUUAUUGGGCGUAAGGCGAGCGCAGGCGGUUUCUUAAGUCUGAUGUGAAAGCCCCCGGCUCAACCGGGGAGGGUCAUUGGAAACUGGGAGACUUGAGUGCAGAAGAGGAGAGUGGAAUUCCAUGUGUAGCGGUGAAAUGCGUAGAUAUAUGGAGGAACACCAGUGGCGAAGGCGGCUCUCUGGUCUGUAACUGACGCUGAGGCUCGAAAGCGUGGGGAGCAAACAGG
rnacentral:rRNA from 1 species